rnacentral:rRNA from 1 species
CUUGGUCAAUUUAGAGGAAGUAAAAAGUCGUAACAAGGUUUCCGUAGGUGAACCUGCGGAAGGAUCAUUAUUGAAAUAAACCUGAUGUGGCUGUUGCUGGCUCUCUAGGGAGCAUGUGCACGCCUUGUCAUCUUUAUAUCUCCACCUGUGCACUCUUUGUAGACCCCUCACAGGGUCUAUGUUGCUUCAUUUACCCCAAUGUAUGUUGAUAGAAUGUCGUGGCAAAUGAAAUCUAUACAACUUUCAGCAACGGAUCUCUUGGCUCUCGCAUCGAUGAAGAACGCAGCGAAAUGCGAUAAGUAAUGUGAAUUGCAGAAUUCAGUGAAUCAUCGAAUCUUUGAACGCACCUUGCGCUCCUUGGUAUUCCGAGGAGCAUGCCUGUUUGAGUGUCAUUAAUAUAUAAUCAACCCCUCUCUUUUGAGUUGUGGCUUGGAUGUGGGGGGUUUGCUGGCCUUUGGUCAGCUCCCCUGAAAUGCAUUAGCAGAACGACCUGUUCAUUCAUUGGUGUGAUAACUAUCUACGCUAUUGAGUGCAAGGGCAGUUCAGCUUCCUAACAGUCCUCGGACAGUUUAUCAUUUUAUGUGACCUCAAAUCAGGUAGGACUACCCGCUGAACUUAAGCAUAUCAAUAAGCGGAGGA